rnacentral:rRNA from 1 species
ACCUGCCUUAUACAGGGGAUAACAGUUAGAAAUGACUGCUAAUACCGCAUAAGCGCACGGUAUCGCAUGAUACAGUGUGAAAAGCGUAACGGUAUAAGAUGGACCCGCGUCUGAUUAGCCAGUUCGGUGAGGUAACGGCUCCCAAAGGCGACGAUCAGUAGCCGGCCUGAGAGGGUGAACGGCCACAUUGGACUGAGACACGGCCCAAACUCCUACGGGAGGCAGCAGUGGGGGAUAUUGCACAAUGGGGGAAACCCUGAUGCAGCGACGCCGCGUGAGUGAUGAAGUAUUUCGGUAUGGUAAAGCUCUAUCAGCAGGGAAGAAAUGACGGUACCUGACUAAGAAGCCCCGGCUAACUACGUGCC